rnacentral:rRNA from 1 species
GGACGAACGCUGGCGGCGUGCUUAACACAUGCAAGUCGAACGGAAAGGCCCUUCGGGGUACUCGAGUGGCGAACGGGUGAGUAACACGUGGGUGAUCUGCCCUGCACUCUGGGAUAAGCCUGGGAAACUGGGUCUAAUACCGGAUAGGACCACACACUUCAUGGUGAGUGGUGCAAAGCUUUUGCGGUGUGGGAUGAGCCCGCGGCCUAUCAGCUUGUUGGUGGGGUAAUGGCCCACCAAGGCGACGACGGGUAGCCGGCCUGAGAGGGUGACCGGCCACACUGGGACUGAGAUACGGCCCAGACUCCUACGGGAGGCAGCAGUGGGGAAUAUUGCACAAUGGGCGCAAGCCUGAUGCAGCGACGCCGCGUGAGGGAUGACGGCCUUCGGGUUGUAAACCUCUUUCAGUAGGGACGAAGCGAAAGUGACGGUACCUACAGAAGAAGGACCGGCCAACUACGUGCCAGCAGCCGCGGUAAUACGUAGGGUCCGAGCGUUGUCCGGAAUUACUGGGCGUAAAGAGCUCGUAGGUGGUUUGUCGCGUUGUUCGUGAAAACUCACAGCUUAACUGUGGGCGUGCGGGCGAUACGGGCAGACUAGAGUACUGCAGGGGAGACUGGAAUUCCUGGUGUAGCGGUGGAAUGCGCAGAUAUCAGGAGGAACACCGGUGGCGAAGGCGGGUCUCUGGGCAGUAACUGACGCUGAGGAGCGAAAGCGUGGGUAGCGAACAGGAUUAGAUACCCUGGUAGUCCACGCCGUAAACGGUGGGUACUAGGUGUGGGUUUCCUUCCUUGGGAUCCGUGCCGUAGCUAACGCAUUAAGUACCCCGCCUGGGGAGUACGGUCGCAAGACUAAAACUCAAAGGAAUUGACGGGGGCCCGCACAAGCGGCGGAGCAUGUGGAUUAAUUCGAUGCAACGCGAAGAACCUUACCUGGGUUUGACAUGCACAGGACGUACCUAGAGAUAGGUAUUCCCUUGUGGCCUGUGUGCAGGUGGUGCAUGGCUGUCGUCAGCUCGUGUCGUGAGAUGUUGGGUUAAGUCCCGCAACGAGCGCAACCCUUGUCCUAUGUUGCCAGCGGGUAAUGCCGGGGACUCGUAGGAGACUGCCGGGGUCAACUCGGAGGAAGGUGGGGAUGACGUCAAGUCAUCAUGCCCCUUAUGUCCAGGGCUUCACACAUGCUACAAUGGCCAGUACAGAGGGCUGCGAAGCCGCAAGGUGGAGCGAAUCCCUUAAAGCUGGUCUCAGUUCGGAUUGGGGUCUGCAACUCGACCCCAUGAAGUCGGAGUCGCUAGUAAUCGCAGAUCAGCAACGCUGCGGUGAAUACGUUCCCGGGCC